rnacentral:rRNA from 2 species
GCGAGUGAAGCGGCAACAGCUCAAAUUUGAAAGCUGGCUCCGGCCCGCAUUGUAAUUUGCAGAGGAUGCUUCUGGUGAGGUGCCUUCCGAGUUCCCUGGAACGGGACGCCAUAGAGGGUGAGAGCCCCGUAUGGAUGGACACCAAACCUGUGUGAAGCUCCUUCAACGAGUCGAGUAGUUUGGGAAUGCUGCUCUAAAUGGGAGGUAAAUCUCUUCUAAAGCUAAAUACCGGCCAGAGACCGAUAGCGCACAAGUAGAGUGAUCGAAAGAUGAAAAGCACCUUGAAAAGGGGGUUAAACAGUACGUGAAAUUGUUGAAAGGGAAGCGCUUGUGACCAGACUUGCGCCGGGCAGCUCAUCAGGGGUUCUCCCCUGUGCACUCUGCCCGGCUCAGGCCAGCAUCGGUUCUCGUGGGAGGAUAAGAACGGUUGGAACGUGGCCCCCCUCCGGGGGGGUGUUAUAGCCUACCGUACGAUACUCCCGUGGGGACCGAGGUUCGCGCUCCGCAAGGAUGCUGGC